AUCAAUGUUCCAAGGUCUCGCUUCCUACCAGUUAAGGCGACAUCAGAUUUGCAGCUAGUACAGUCUGAUCUAUAUACCUUGGUUGAUGGCUUCGUUACACGUAAUUCAGCUAGAACAAAUCCAUCAAAUCCCUCAAUUGAACUUGGUCCUGAGUUCAAGAAGGUUGGGAGCUUCCUUGGUCGCUUCAAGUCCAUACCUAGCAUUUUUGAGCUUGACAGCUUGAAGGUUUCCGGUGAUGUUUGGUUCGGUUCUGGAAUUGUACUGAAGGUACAUCUUCCUAAGUUACAGAACAGCUAUAACAUUCCUAAGUUGCAGAACAACUUCCUAAGUUCAGACAAGUUUCAUGUAUUUAU